rnacentral:lncRNA from 1 species
AUUUCUUUUCGAGAUGAAAGACUUGGAUGGGCUUCUCAUAGGAGCAACAGGACCAGAACAUUUAUGAGCCUGCUUGGCCAUGCCUCUAUCCCUGAGCCUGGAGCAGAGUCAUUGCCUUAGUGAAGGUGAAUCUUCUGAUGACCCUGAAGAGACCAUUGGAGGGGCCUCAGGGAUAUUGAAAAGGAGCAUUGCCUUUUUCUAUAGCUACUUAAUACAUCUCUGAGGCAAUUCUCCCUGGAAGGCAGGAAUCCCACCAUGCAGAAUCAACAUGUGAUCAAUCACUGUUCUGUAUGAAGGCACAUUUCUCAGAGAAAAAAAUAUCCUAUGAGGCCAGGAGGGUUCUUCCUAUGAAUUUUUUUUUCUCCAAAGAUAUUGUCAACUGGAUUACACAUUUUCCAAAUAAAAUCUCUUAUAUAAGCUUUCCUUGGGAUUUAUCUUUAUUGAAAGUCAUACAACUUCAGAUACAGGCUGAUUUGACCAAACAAAUGACUGUGACUCAGUCUUCUGGUUGACCAUUAUCAUGGAAGAAAACUCAGGUAAUUUCAGGUAAACCAAUUUUUUUAUUGUUUAGUUGUUUGUGUAUUUAUUUAUUUUUAUUUUACUUUAAGUUCUGUGAUACAUGUGCAGAACGUGCAGGUUUGUUACUUAGGUAUACAUGUGCCAUGGUGCCAUGGUGGGGGGCAAGGGGAGGGAGAACAUCGGCACAAGUACCUAAUUCAUGCGGGGCUUGAAACCUAGAUGAUGGGUUGAUAGGUGAAACCAAUGCCUUGUAUGUGGUUUUGGCUUUGUUUUGAUUCAAUUAGUUAAGCAAGUGUUUCUCUUGCUUAAGAGAAAAAGUAUAAUCUGUGUUUUUUCCUGUGCAUUCCUG